rnacentral:rRNA from 1 species
CCUACGGGUGGCAGCAGUGAGGAAUAUUGGUCAAUGGACGCAAGUCUGAACCAGCCAUGCCGCGUGCAGGAAGACGGCUCUAUGAGUUGUAAACUGCUUUUGUACGAGGGUAAACGCAGAUACGCGUAUCUGUCUGAAAGUAUCGUACGAAUAAGGAUCGGCUAACUCCGUGCCAGCAGCCGCGGUAAUACGGAGGAUUCAAGCGUUAUCCGGAUUUAUUGGGUUUAAAGGGUGCGUAGGCGGUGGGAUAAGUUAGAGGUGAAAUCCCGAGGCUCAACUUCGGAAUUGCCUCUGAUACUGUUCGUCUAGAGAGUAGUUGCGGUAGGCGGAAUGUAUGGUGUAGCGGUGAAACGCUUAGAGAUCAUACAGAACACCGAUUGCGAAGGCAGCUUACCAAGCUACUUCUGACGUUGAGGCACGAAAGCGUGGGGAGCAAACAGGAUUAGAUACCCGAGUAGUC